rnacentral:rRNA from 1 species
UAGGGAAUCUUCCGCAAUGGACGCAAGUCUGACGGAGCAACGCCGCGUGAGUGAAGAAGGAUUUCGGUUCGUAAAACUCUGUUGUUAGAGAAGAACAGCGCAUAGAGUAACUGUUAUGCGUGUGACGGUAUCUAACCAGAAAGCCACGGCUAACUACGUGCCAGCAGCCGCGGUAAUACGUAGGUGGCAAGCGUUGUCCGGAUUUAUUGGGCGUAAAGCGAGCGCAGGCGGUCAAUUAAGUCUGAUGUGAAAGCCCCCGGCUCAACCGGGGAGGGUCAUUGGAAACUGAUUGACUUGAGUGCAGAAGAGGAGAGUGGAAUUCCAUGUGUAGCGGUGAAAUGCGUAGAUAUAUGGAGGAACACCAGUGGCGAAGGCGACUCUCUGGUCUGUAACUGACGCUGAGGUUCGAAAGCGUGGGUAGCAAACAGG